AACAGGAAGGCUUCAUUUCAGUUUCAUGGUACAGUGUGUUUAUAGCGUAUGUGUGUGUCCUUUCUGUGGCUAUGGUCAUAUGUACCUUAGUUUGAGAUGUCGGUGUAGCCGCAUAAUUCACUGUAGGCUGUUUUAACACAAUUGCCAAAUUAUGGCUACCGUCAAACAGGAUAACUUGGAGAUGGAGGAGCUGUUGAAGCGAUUCAAGAAAAGAGACUUGGCUCAGACGUACUUUUUUAAAAUGUCAUGUCGUGUAUUCGGAACACCAACAUCUCGGGAUCGGGUUAUAAUCGCACCCCGGAUGCAUGUCGUCAGUAAUGCGCAAAGGUGCCCGGUAGUGGACCUACCUACACCAAAUAUCCGGAAAGCCAGCCACACCGUGACGAUGUCAGUGAACUCGGUCCCACCGGUGCAGCGGUUUACAAAUUUUCCAGCUGAGAAAACGAUACCGGACCAGGAUUGGGUCAGAGAACGAAAAGCAUUUCGUCACAUGUUGAACGGAAUCGGAAAUCUGAGCCAGUGGACGAAUAAUAAGCCCAUAGUCACAGAGUUGGAGCUUAAGCUGGCAGAGAGGGAGAGGAGACCCAAUCGAGGAUACCCUCCAGUCGGGUCCAAUCUACCCCUGUCGUCCGCCCCAAAGCAUUUGGCACCCAUCUCCUGUGAAACUCCGGUGCUUCACAUGCGCGCACUACGAGCUCCAGAGAAGGUGGAAGAGGUGAUGAGGUCCCGGCGCAGGCACGAGAUGUGCAACCAACUGGAUAUUACAGGCACUGGAAAAAAAAGCCGGCGUGCUAUGCGUACUGCCUUUGAGAAAGCAGGUAUUAGGGUGUCAGAGGAGAGGCUGGAUGACCUGGUGGCGUCUCUGAGUGGCGAGGGGGAGUUUGUGACCGUGGCGGCCCUGGCCGCGGCCAUCAGGGACUGCACUGAGGAGUGCAGCGGGGUGGAGGAAGGCAGCGAUGCACAAGAUCCUCUGCACUCUGCACGCAUUUUACUACAGGAGAGAGUGGAGCGGGACAGGCUUCAGCUGUACCAGCAGCAACGCAGGAAGGGCCGUGUGCAAGAUGAGGAGGUUCUAGUGCUCCUGCAGACUCUGCCUACAGGGAACCUGAGUCAGGAUGCCCACUCUUACCCCUCCUCCCUGGCCGGGGAUGCGGGGGUCACCAUCGACCGCUACAGGCGGCAGGGGGUGGGAGAGUACCUGGACUCCCUGGACCAGUGUCAGCGGCAAGGGAUCAACAUCAGCCACACCAGCAUGCGGAAGGGUACGCACACACACACUCACUCACACACAUUCACCUACUCACUCACACACACACACUCACUCACACACACACACACACACACACACACACACACACACACAGAGCCCACAAACACACUCACACACAGAGCCCUCUCACUAACACACACACUCACUCACACACAGAGCACACACACUCACUCACACACAGAGCACACACACUCACUCACACACACAGAGCCCACAGACACAUUCACUCACACACACAGAGCCCACAGACACAUUCACACACACACUCACUCACACACAGAGCACACACACACACACAGAGCCCUCUCACUAACACACUCACUCACACACAGAGCACACACACACACACAGAGCCCUCUCACUAACACACACACUCACACACAGAGCACACACACACACACACACACUCACAGAGCCCCCCCACACACACAGAGCACACACACUCACAGAGCACACACACUCAUUCACACACACAGAGCCCACAGACACAUUCACACACACACUCACUCACACUCACACACACAGAGCCCACAGACACAUUCACACACACACAGAGCACACACACACACACACACAGAGCCCUCUCACUAACACACACACUCACACACAGAGCACACACACACACUCACACACAGAGCCCACACACACACCCACACAGAGCCCACACACACACACACACACUCACUCACACACACACUCACAUACAGAGCCCACAUACACACUCACACACAGAGCCCACACAUACACUCACAGAGCCCACACACACACACACUCACACACAGAGCCCACUCACACAUUCACACACAAAGCCCUCACACACACACACACACACACACAGACACACACACACAGACACACACACACAGACACACACACACAGACAUGCACCCGCACACCACUGCCAAAUCAUCAAACUCAGUCAGACCAGCAUAAU
ensembl:lncRNA